rnacentral:rRNA from 1 species
CGUGCCAGCAGCCGCGGUAAUACGGAGGGUGCGAGCGUUAAUCGGAAUUACUGGGCGUAAAGCGCAUGCAGGUGGUUUGUUAAGUCAGAUGUGAAAGCCCGGGGCUCAACCUUGGGAAUUGCAUUUGAAACUGGCAGACUAGAGUACUGUAGAGGGGGGUAGAAUUUCAGGUGUAGCGGUGAAAUGCGUAGAGAUCUGAAGGAAUACCGGUGGCGAAGGCGGCCCCCUGGACAGAUACUGACACUCAGAUGCGAAAGCGUGGGGAGCAAACAGGAUUAGAUACCCUGGUAGUCCACGCCGUAAACGAUGUCUACUUGGAGGUUGUGGCCUUGAGCCGUGGCUUUCGGAGCUAACGCGUUAAGUAGACCGCCUGGGGAGUACGGUCGCAAGAUUAAAACUCAAAUGAAUUGACGGGGGCCCGCACAAGCGGUGGAGCAUGUGGUUUAAUUCGAUGCAACGCGAAGAACCUUACCUACUCUUGACAUCCACAGAACUUUCCAGAGACGGUUUGGUGCCUUCGGGAACUGUGAGACAGGUGCUGCAUGGCUGUCGUCAGCUCGUGUUGUGAAAUGUUGGGUUAAGUCCCGCAACGAGCGCAACCCUUAUCCUUGUUUGCCAGCGAGUAAUGUCGGGAACUCCAGGGAGACUGCCGGUGAUAAACCGGAGGAAGGUGGGGACGACGUCAAGUCAUCAUGGCCCUUACGAGUAGGGCUACACACGUGCUACAAUGGCGCAUACAGAGGGCGGCCAACUUGCGAAAGUGAGCGAAUCCCAAAAAGUGCGUCGUAGUCCGGAUUGGAGUCUGCAACUCGACUCCAUGAAGUCGGAAUCGCUAGUAAUCGUAGAUCAGAAUGCUACGGUGAAUACGUUCCCGGGCCUUGUACACACCGCCCGUCACACCAUGGGUAGUGGGCUGCAAAAGAAGUGGGU